AAUUUCCAAUUUAUUUUUUUUGUUUUUUUCCUGGAAAGAUCAAUGUCUCAGUUCUUCAACUUUCUCUCCCACCUAUAAUGGGGUCUUGUUGAAUGAUCGACCAAUACAAAUAUCUCAGUGUUUGAAGCAAAGUUUGAGAAGAAAGGUACAAGCUUUCCAACUCUCAAGGCGAAGGUAAGUGAAGGGUAUGGCACAGUUCACUACGCAGGGUCGCCUCAAGCUUCUCUUCAAUGGGGAGGGCGUGUCUUCUAUUUUGGAGCACAAGGACCCUUUUCUCUACAAGUGCAGAUCAGUUCAGACCCACAAGAGAAGAACAAGGUACAUAGGUUCUUUUUCUGCUAGAAUAUACUAUGCAUCAUCUCUGAGUAGCAAAACCAACCGUUGUAAUGCGGAGGCACGCCCCAGUGGUGGCAAUGGGAGUGUUCAUGAUGAAUAUGAUGUUGAUGAAGAUGAGGAUGAUGAUGAUGAUGAUGAUGUUGAAGUUUAUGAGGAUGAGGAGGAUUUGUUUGACCGAGAUGGCUUGUCUUGCUUCCGGGGUUUGGUGUUAGACAUUGCUUACAGGCCAGUAAAUGUCGUAGGCUGGAAACGUGCUAUAUGUUUGGAGUUUAUGGAGAAGGCUGAUGUACUGGAGUAUUAUGCUAAGACAGUGAACUCCCCCAGUGGAUCUUUCUAUAUACCAGCUGUCUUGAGGGUUCCUCAUUUACUUCAGGUUGUUAAAAGAAGAAUAGUAAAAAACAAUCUCAGUCGGAAAAAUAUACUAUUUCGGGACAAUUACACCUGUCAGUAUUGCUGUUCACGUGAGAAUUUGACCAUUGAUCACGUUUUGCCCGCUGCACUAGGUGGAGAAUGGACAUGGGAAAAUCUAGUGCUUUCCAGUGGCUGUUUUUCUCGAUCCAUUCUCUGUUCAUUUCAUUGUUUGCUAUUCUCUUUGGAUAGUGAGUUAUUGGUCCCGUCAUUGUUCAAGUCUUGAUUGUUCAUGUAUGUCCUUGUUAUGUCUAUUCUGCUGCUCCUAUUUCAUUACAAUUGUUGACUACAUCCUAACCACUUUCGGGCCAACCUUUGAUUCCUUCAACGUUCUGUUAGAUAAUGAAUAGAAGGAAUGCUUUCAAUUUAAAGCAGCCUGAUCAAGAUUAUAUUCAAUUGCUGUAGUCUGUACAGUGAUGGUUCAAAGGCUAAAACCAUUGGAAUUGGUCAAGCUGUACCUCUUCUCUCACUGACUUGGGAUAUGCUUUGUUUUGCUCUAAGUUGCCCUAUGAACUUAAUUUCUGUAAGUCAACUUACUAAAAGUCUCUAUAACCUUUUUUACUGAGUCUUUUUCAUAUGCAGAAUUGGAGAACUAGAAAGACAAUUGGUAUAGUUUUUGAAUCACACAGAUUCUACUAUCUUCAACCUCCACCAUCUACUAUAGGGGCUAUUUUAAAUCUCCUAACCUUCACGGUUGUUUAGGUUGCCUAAAGUAUAAAAUUUAAAAAGAUGUUUCCUCAUCUCUCCCAUUUACAAUAUUUUGAAUGUGAGUCUUGUCAGCUUGGGAAACAUGUUUUGGCUACUUUCCGAAGAAAGGAUGAUAAUCAGUUAGAUCCUCCCUCUUAUAUUGUUCAUUCAAUUGGUUGGGGUCCUAAUUUUGUUAAUUAUAUUAUUAUAGGUAUUUUCUUUCAUUGAUGAUUUCUCAAGAUGAAUUUGGAUAUUUUUAAUGAAAAAUCAUUCUGAAAUAAUUGGUUUUUUCAAUAUUUGUGUUCUAAUAUUCAUUCCCAAUUUGAUUGAACUAUGCAUAUUUUAUUUAGUGACAAUUCAAUAGUAUUGUUCUUCGUCUUUAAUUCUUUUAUGUCUUUCUAUAGUAUUUUAUGUCCUAAUUCAUCCCAAAAAAAUGGCAUUGCAAAAAGAAAACCGUCACCUACCUGACAUUCCUCUGUUUUUGGGGCGGGGCGUUAUUCUUUUACCAAUUGAUUUGAUAAAUUGCAUUCUGUCUUUGGUUUAAAUGACCAAAUUGCUCAUUCUUUCUUGUUUCCAAAUAAUCUCUUUAUAAAAUUCAUCCUGUGUUUGGUUGUACUUUAGUGCAUGAUCUUUCUCUAGGUAAAGAUAUGUUAUUUUAUAUGCUUGUGUUGUGCUACCAAAUGCAUCUUCUUUUUUAGUAUCUCAAGUGCAUUAUACAUGUCUAAUCUUACUCUUCUACAAAUCAUUUCUUCAUUUAUGCUAGUGUCACCUAUGUUGAAGACACACCCUUCUUCUCUAUAUAGGUGGAACUAGAUUCAAUUUCUCUAAAGUCUUACCUGAACAAUCCAAUUGUUAAUCCUCAUAUUGUAUCCUUAGAAUCAAUAACUUCUUUCCAACCACAAUAGUUUUUUUCUUGCUAACUUGUUAGUUGUUACUUAUCAGUUUUGUCCACGUCAUAUGCUCUAGAAGUUGACCUUGUUCUGGAGGUGAAUGAUUCAUCUCUUGCUUUUGUAUCUUCACCUACUGCAGUCCCUCCCAAAUCUCCCUUAGACUUGUUGCAGUUUUAAAUGUAUUCAUUCUUCUUGUAAUCCUCAUCCCAUUUAUAAUUUCUUGAUUAUUGUUGUUUGUCUCUAUCACGUUAUGCUUUUACCAUUGCAUUGUGGUGUAUUUCUAUUCGUAAAUCUAUCUAGGAAGCACUUUCUCAUAGGGAUGAAUAAGGGACUGGUUUACACUUGUCAUUACCCGACCUGAUUUUAUGAUUGGGCCAUUUUUCUAAACCCAAUCAAGACCUGAAAUAUAUGGGACAAGAUAGAAUUAAUCUGACUUUUCUACAUCAAUAUUAACAUUAUGUAUAGUUAAAUUGUAGAAUAAAUUAUAUCAAACUUAAUUAAGAUAUAUUUUACAAUAUAUAUUUGAAAAUAAACAACAUAAUUAUAAAUAUAAUGUCAUGUUAUACAAAAUAUUAUUUAUUAAAUCAAAGAGUCUUAUUAAUAGUUAAAAAAAAUUUACUUUUUAAUAGAAUAUAGGAUAUCAAAUGAUGACCCAUAGCAUAACCCUAACCUGAACUCAUUAUGAAAAUACAUUGAGUCUAAAUUCAAGACCUGAAUCCAUCGAAAUCAAUCUCGAGUUGGAUCGGGUUAGUUGGCCAGAUUGUGUCAUGCUCACCCCUAUUUUCUUAUACAGGAUAGUGAUAGAAUGAUUGAUGAGAUGAUGACCAUAGAAUCAAAUCAUACAUGGAGAUUGGCUCCCUAUCCUCUAGGGAAAUUUGGAAAUCUAUGGUUGGUUGUCAAUGGGUUCUAUAAAGAUAUUAAUACUUUCUUCGAAUGUAAGAUUGAGUCUAACUCAACUUUACAAAAUCAAUUUAUAAAGUGAGAAUUGUCCAGAACUAUUGAGGUUGGUGCAUGGAUAAUAUGGUAAGUGCCCAUUAAUGGAUCUAUGAUGGACUCUAAUACUAUAUCAGGAUUUCAGAUUGUAGAGGCAAAAGGUGAAAAAACCCAUUAAUCUCAAUGAAUGGUACAACUUACUUUAACACGAGUACCCGUAACUAACUUUGACAUCUGUCAGUAGAAUUAAUAGAUGUAGCUAUUAAUAUACUAAUAGAUUCUCUUCUCACUUUCAAAGUAGGUCCUGAUGAAAAGGUGAUCAUUUGUAAGCUCGUUUGGUUGUUGAUGGCUAUACUUGGAUUUUCAGCACUCAUUAUGGAGACAUUUUCUCCCCUAUUAUUAAAAAAUGGCUUUUGUUCAGCUUUUCUUAUCCAUAGAAGCUACAUAUUGCGGACCUCUAUAUCAGUUGGAUAUCGAGAAUGCCUUUGGACAUAGUAGCUUAGUUAAAGAGGUUUAUAUGGAGUAGCUUUCAGGGUUUGUAGCUCAAGGGAGGGGAGUCCGGAUUAGUUUGUAAAUUGCAUGUCCUAGUUUGGCCUCAAGAAGUAUUUCUGUACACAAAAUAGCUAAAGAUAAAUUUAAUGAAGAUGAUAAAAUGAGUGACUCAUUGGUUGCCAUUUGUUUCUUCUUGGA